rnacentral:rRNA from 1 species
UCUUUUCCUUUUGUUUCAGCAGCCGCGGUAAUACGUAGGGGGCAAGCGUUAUCCGGAUUUACUGGGUGUAAAGGGAGCGUAGACGGUGUGGCAAGUCUGAUGUGAAAGGCAUGGGCUCAACCUGUGGACUGCAUUGGAAACUGUCAUACUUGAGUGCCGGAGGGGUAAGCGGAAUUCCUAGUGUAGCGGUGAAAUGCGUAGAUAUUAGGAGGAACACCAGUGGCGAAGGCGGCUUACUGGACGGUAACUGACGUUGAGGCUCGAAAGCGUGGGGAGCAAACAGG